GGAUGGUGGAGCUUCUAGAAGUCCAAGAAGAAGCCUCUGGGUGGCACUUGGAGUAGCAAUGGCAUAGUAUCGAUGAAACAAUCGUGCAUACGGCUCAAGUGCCGGUAGCCCUGCAACAAGAUGCUCAUCCAUUGGUGUUGUAGGAGGUGGAAGCAGAAGAGCAGGAACGGCAGCUGCAGUCAAGGUAGCAGUCUCAUAACGAGCAACUUCUUCAUCACAAACACUUAAAAUAACACCAGCACCAUUGGCAACUGCCCACCUCGGAGUUGAAGGGAUUAACUGAGGAUGCUUUCCAGAGCCACGAGAAGAAGCAGUUGAUGGUGGCUUUAGUUCUCCAGCAGCAUACUUCCCCAUAACACCACCACACCAACGGAAGUAAUCACUUCUA
rnacentral:misc_RNA from 1 species